AGUUUCUCUGAACCAGUGGGCUGCUACCAUGCAGUCGACGAUGAACCACUUCGGUGGGGAUUAGUGGCGAACGGGUGAGUAACACGUGGGCAAUCUGCCCUGCACUCUGGGACAAGCCCUGGAAACGGGGUCUAAUACCGGAUACUGACCCGCUUGGGCAUCCAAGCGGUUCGAAAGCUCCGGCGGUGCAGGAUGAGCCCGCGGCCUAUCAGCUUGUUGGUGAGGUAAUGGCUCACCAAGGCGACGACGGGUAGCCGGCCUGAGAGGGCGACCGGCCACACUGGGACUGAGACACGGCCCAGACUCCUACGGGAGGCAGCAGUGGGGAAUAUUGCACAAUGGGCGAAAGCCUGAUGCAGCGACGCCGCGUGAGGGAUGACGGCCUUCGGGUUGUAAACCUCUUUCAGCAGGGAAGAAGCGAAAGUGACGGUACCUGCAGAAGAAGCGCCGGCUAACUACGUGCCAGCAGCCGCGGUAAUACGUAGGGCGCGAGCGUUGUCCGGAAUUAUUGGGCGUAAAGAGCUCGUAGGCGGCUUGUCACGUCGGUUGUGAAAGCCCGGGGCUUAACCCCGGGUCUGCAGUCGAUACGGGCAGGCUAGAGUUCGGUAGGGGAGAUCGGAAUUCCUGGUGUAGCGGUGAAAUGCGCAGAUAUCAGGAGGAACACCGGUGGCGAAGGCGGAUCUCUGGGCCGAUACUGACGCUGAGGAGCGAAAGCGUGGGGAGCGAACAGGAUUAGAUACCCUGGUAGUCCACGCCGUAAACGGGUGGGGCACUAGGUGUGGGCGACAUUCCCACGUCGUCCGUGCCGC
rnacentral:rRNA from 1 species